rnacentral:lncRNA from 10 species
UGCAGGUGAGGGGAGAAGAAUCAUAAGGUAAGCUCUCAGAGAUACGAGGGUCAAGGAGAAUAUAAGAUCUUACAUUCCCUAACGCACCUCUUGCUCUUUUGUGUUUUUGCAUGUGGCCUUCAUGCUGGUUGUCCUCUGGACUGUGUGACCUUGGUGCCCUCAGUUUCCUCAUCUUAUUGGUCCCUGUACUUCUAAUAGUCAGUGGGCUGACAGUCCACACCCCUCUGCAGGGCUCCAGACCUGGCUGUCUGACUUUCCAGCAGGCUGUCCCCUCGGUCAUGCCGCAGACUUUUCACACUGUGUCCGAAGCUGAGCCUUGAUCUGUUCCUGAACUUGCUGCCCCUCUUUUGUCCUCUCCCAUCCACUCCACUGUUUGUGCUAGAAAGUGGGGAGAUAUUGUUGGCACCUUCCCUCUCACUCCUACAUAUUAGCCAAAGGUUUUAUAGAUUUCACACCUAAGCAGUGAUGUUUCAGCCUGCUUCCACUCUCCCGUGCUCAGGAUAACUGCCUUGGUUCAGUCACUUUCAUGUAACACUCCUGCCUGGAGUACGCAGCAGCUCCUACCUGGUAUUCUGAUUCCUCUCCGGCACUCUUCAGUGGCCCUCUAGUGCUCCCUGAGUGAUCUUUUGUUUGUUUGUUUGUUUGUUUUUGAGACAGGGUCUGGCUCUGUCACUCAGGCUGGAAUGCAGUGGCAUGAUCACAGCUCACUGUAGCCUCUACCACCUGGACUCAAGUGAUCCUCCCACCUCAGCCUCCCAAGUAGCUGGGACUAC